rnacentral:tmRNA from 1 species
GGGGACGACAGGCUUCGACGUUGUCGGACCGUGCGGAGGGUUGCAGGUCGAGGAUGUCGAUGGCCUCGUAAAAAAUCGGCAAAAACCAAUACGUGCGGACCAUGAGUUCGCCCUCGCUGCCUAGCUGAUACCUAGGUGAUGAGAGUCGGCCCACCCUCGGCCCGUGGGGAGGGGUUCCGGCUUCAGAAACGGGCUAGCCCCGAAGGAUCGCCUCGACCGGAGGGGGACAUUUCAGAGGCUUG